rnacentral:lncRNA from 13 species
UUAAAUUUUAAUNNNNNNNNNNGAAAGACAAGACCAAGACUAGAUCUGGCUUGAGAUGUUGUGGCUUGAUAUGUGACUAACCGAUUGCUAAGGCCCAAAAUCCCCCCUCCCCCCAUGACAUCAGUGUGUGACCUCACCCUCCACAGGUUCGAUGUCUGUGUUGGCGUAGGUGAGAUGUGCGGUGAUGCCCAGGGAGCAGCCGUUGGCACAGGACUUGAUGCAGGAGGCCUUGAGGAGAAGCGGGGCCCACGUGGACCGGUUUCUCAGGCCAACCAUCGUCUCUGGAUCAGCCCCGUCUUGCCUUGGGCUUCUACUCUGGCAACCGAGCUAUCCCCUCUCUCCACCUGCAUAGCAACCGGUUGCAGCAGUGUUGAAGGCCAACUCAAUCAUUAACAGAUUGGUCAACACUCCAUGGGCUCCUGGGCAGCAUCUCCUCAACGGCUACCUGAUGCAAAUCCAUACUAUACAGCUUCACAAGUCUUAUAUGACCACAGAGGAGAUAAGAGUGGGUGGGUGGUAUGAUGUAUCUUUAGGUUGUGUUAGUGGCACAAUACGGGAGCUCAGGUAAGAGAUCAGGUAAGCUUGUUGGGUUACUGGAACCUCUUAGAAAACCUACCUAACCUUUGAGGUGCUCCUCAAAAGAAUGUUAGUGUAAAUAAGAGAUCUAGUAACAAAUAGAAACUAUUCUCAUCUUGAAAAGACUUACAUCUUGUUGUUUAGGACUUUAAACUCACAGGGACGUCCUUCCAGUAUAACAUCACCUUGUUGCUUGCUCUAACCCUGUUGCUUGCAUCAGCUCCAAACACAACACAACAUGAAAUAGAUGAAUCAAACUACGCAGCCAUGUUCUUUACGAAAGCAACACAGCUGCUGCAAUUAAGCCCAGCAGGUCAAAGAAGAACAUAAAACACACUUCUUAGUGAUUGACCUUUUAACCACUCCUUGAAUAAAACAAUGUUCUGGGAAUCUGGACUAUAACCUGCAGGUGUAAUGGUUUCUAAUGGUUUAGUGUUAGCGGACUCACAGCUCAGUGAGCAGCAAACUGUGGAGUGCAGACUGUGACUGUUUGCUUUGGUCUGGGUAAUGGUCUCUACAUCCACCUCUGACUAAGUAGAUCAACAGCUUCCAUCUGGCUACUGUGCUUUGGAGGGAUGGAGGGGGAGCAGCAAAUACAUGUCUGUUUGGGAGAAGGGGAGGGCAGAAAUAAACCAAACCAGCAUUCAACCACAAACACGCGGUCAGAGUAAAACACACAGCAGGAAAGGUUACUUGUUAAAUGUAAAUGUCUAGAUCUUACAAUUAAAAGGUUUCGUCAUCUUCCAUAAAGUACUAAUGAAUAAAUCUGUUUAACAUACGCUUUGGCUGAUAUGAAAGGGUCCCAGUAUGUAGAUGGCAAACCCAUACUGUGCCUUACCUAUUUUGUCUCAUAAAAAAAUGUCCAAGGGAGAUCUGAUACAACAGGCUGCUUCUUCUGCUGUUUGGGUUCAGGGUUGUUCUCUAUGAAUGAAGUCACUUCUGACUUCACCCCUUCUGAUUUAAACAAAACCUUUCAUACUUGUUUGCCCAUGGAAGAACUGGUCAGAAAGUGAGGAGAAAGAGGGCCUCAAAUAUGACCAAUUUUGCAUAUCCCACUCUACCAUGAGACAUCCAAGUCUUCAACACUGAAAAAUAUAAAAGUUGGGUUAGAUAUUAUUUACAAAAUUCGGUCAUUUUUUAACCUUUAACGUAAAUGGUCUAAAAACAUUUUCACAUCUGUUGUAUCUCAGACCCUAUUUUACAUCAUAUGAGGUAUUUAUGUUGUAUCUCAGACCCUAUUUUAC